AUACAAAGGGCAGCGAAACCGUGAGGUCAAGCAAAUCCCAUAAAGUUGUUCUCAGUUCGGAUUGUAGUCUGCAACUCGACUACAUGAAGCUGGAAUCGCUAGUAAUCGUAGAUCAGCAUGCUACGGUGAAUACGUUCCCGGGUCUUGUACACACCGCCCGUCACGCCACGAGAGUUUGUAACACCCGAAGUCGGUGGAGUAACCUUUUAGGAGCUAGCCGUCGAAGGUGGGGCAAAUGAUUGGGGUGAAGUCGUAACAAGGUAGCUGUAUCGGAAGGUGCGGCUGGAUCACCUCCUUU
rnacentral:rRNA from 1 species